rnacentral:rRNA from 1 species
UACGAAGGGGGCUAGCGUUGUUCGGAAUUACUGGGCGUAAAGCGCGCGCAGGCGGUUCUUCAAGUCAGUGGUGAAAGCCCGGAGCUCAACUCCGGAACUGCCUUUGAGACUGUAUCGCUUGAACACGGGAGAGGUGAGUGGAAUUCCGAGUGUAGAGGUGAAAUUCGUAGAUAUUCGGAAGAACACCAGUGGCGAAGGCGGCUCACUGGACCGUUGUUGACGCUGAGGUGCGAAAGCGUGGGGAGCAAACAGG